rnacentral:rRNA from 1 species
CAGUAGCCACGGUAAAACGAAGGGUGCAAGCGUUAAUCGGAGUUACUGGGCGUAAAGCGUGCGUAGGCGGUUUGUUAAGUCUGUUGUGAAAUCCCCGGGCUCAACCUGGGAAUGGCAAUGGAUACUGGCAAGCUAGAGUGUGUCAGAGGAUGGUGGAAUUCCCGGUGUAGCGGUGAAAUGCGUAGAGAUCGGGAGGAACAUCAGUGGCGAAGGCGGCCAUCUGGGACAACACUGACGCUGAGGCACGAAAGCGUGGGGAGCAAACAGGAUUAGAUACCCCCGUAGUCCCUGUCUCUUAUAA